rnacentral:rRNA from 1 species
UACAGAGGUCUCAAGCGUUGUUCGGAUUCAUUGGGCGUAAAGGGUGCGUAGGCGGCGCGGUAAGUCGGGUGUGAAAUCUCGGAGCUUAACUCCGAAACUGCAUUCGAUACUGCCGUGCUUGAGGACUGGAGAGGAGACUGGAAUUUACGGUGUAGCGGUGAAAUGCGUAGAUAUCGUAAGGAAGACCAGUGGCGAAGGCGGGUCUCUGGACAGUUCCUGACGCUGAGGCACUAAGGCCAGGGGAGCAAACGGG